GAUGAACGCUGGCGGCGUGCCUAAUACAUGCCAGUCGAGCGAACAGACGAGGAGCUUGCUCCUCUGACGUUAGCGGCGGACGGGUGAGUAACACGUGGAUAACCUACCUAUAAGACUGGGAUAACUUCGGGAAACCGGAGCUAAUACCGGAUAAUAUAUUGAACCGCAUGGUUCAAUAGUGAAAGACGGUUUUGCUGUCACUUAUAGAUGGAUCCGCGCCGCAUUAGCUAGUUGGUAAGGUAACGGCUUACCAAGGCGACGAUGCGUAGCCGACCUGAGAGGGUGAUAGGCCACACUGGAACUGAGGCACGGUCCAGACUCCUACGGGAGGCAGCAGUAGGGAAUCUUCCGCAAUGGGCGAAAGCCUGACGGAGCAACGCCGCGUGAGUGAUGAAGGUCUUCGGAUCGUAAAACUCUGUUAUUAGGGAAGAACAAAUGUGUAAGUAACUAUGCACGUCUUGACGGUACCUAAUCAGAAAGCCACGGCUAACUACGUG
rnacentral:rRNA from 1 species